UGGCGAGAGGGUAAAUAUGCAACACUGCAUACCAUCAGUAGAGCGUCCAUAGAGCCGUGAAGGAAAAGGGCACAGUGAUAGGUGGUAGUGUUGAAGUGUCAAUACAAUUUAGUACUUUUUCUCUUUCCACAUAUUUUUGUCGCUA
ensembl:ncRNA K12G11.7 ncRNA